rnacentral:rRNA from 1 species
UGGGGAAUUUUGCACAAUGGGGGAAACCCUGAUGCAGCGACGCCGCGUGAUUUAGAAGGCCUUCGGGUUGUAAAAAUCUUUUGUAUGGGAAGAAAAUGACAGUACCAUACGAAUAAGGACCGGCUAAUUACGUGCCAGCAGCCGCGGUAAUACGUAAGGUCCGAGCGUUGUCCGGAAUCAUUGGGCGUAAAGGGUACGUAGGCGGAUAAGCAAGUUAGAAGUGAAAUCCUAUAGCUCAACUAUAGUAAGCUUUUAAAACUGCUCAUCUUGAGGUAUGGAAGGGAAAGUGGAAUUCCUAGUGUUGGGGUGGAAAGCGCAGGUAUUAGGAGGAAUAACGGGGGCGGAGGCGGCUUUCCGGCCAUAUACUGACGCUGGGGUACGAAAACGUGGGUAGGAAACAGG